CCUACGGGUGGCAGCAGUGGGGAAUAUUGGGCAAUGGGCGCAAGCCUGACCCAGCAAUGCCGCGUGCAGGAAGAAGGCUUUCGGGUUGUAAACCUCUUUGACAGGGGAAGAGCAGACGACGGUACCCUGCAAACAAGCCACGGCUAACUACGUGCCAGCAGCCGCGGUAAUACGUAGGUGGCAAGCGUUGUCCGGAUUUACUGGGUGUAAAGGGCGUGUAGCCGGGAAGGCAAGUCAGAUGUGAAAUCUGGAGGCUCAACCUCCAAAUUGCAUUUGAAACUGUUUGUCUUGAGUGCAGGAGAGGCAGGCGGAAUGCCUGGUGUAGCGGUGAAAUGCGUAGAGAUAA
rnacentral:rRNA from 1 species